rnacentral:rRNA from 1 species
UUAAGCGACUAAGCGUACACGGUGGAUGCCCUGGCAGUCAGAGGCGAUGAAGGACGUGCUAAUCUGCGAUAAGCGUCGGUAAGGUGAUAUGAACCGUUAUAACCGGCGAUUUCCGAAUGGGGAAACCCAGUGUGAUUCGUCACACUAUCAUUAACUGAAUCCAUAGGUUAAUGAGGCGAACCGGGGGAACUGAAACAUCUAAGUACCCCGAGGAAAAGAAAUCAACCGAGAUUCCCCCAGUAGCGGCGAGCGAACGGGGAGGAGCCCAGAGCCUGAAUCAGUGUGUGUGUUAGUGGAAGCGUCUGGAAAGGCGCGCGAUACAGGGUGACAGCCCCGUACACAAAAAUGCACAUAUUGUGAGCUCGAUGAGUAGGGCGGGACACGUGGUAUCCUGUCUGAAUAUGGGGGGACCAUCCUCCAAGGCUAAAUACUCCUGACUGACCGAUAGUGAACCAGUACCGUGAGGGAAAGGCGAAAAGAACCCCGGCGAGGGGAGUGAAAAAGAACCUGAAACCGUGUACGUACAAGCAGUGGGAGCCUCUUUAUGGGGUGACUGCGUACCUUUUGUAUAAUGGGUCAGCGACUUAUAUUCUGUAGCAAGGUUAACCGAAUAGGGGAGCCGAAGGGAAACCGAGUCUUAACUGGGCGUUAAGUUGCAGGGUAUAGACCCGAAACCCGGUGAUCUAGCCAUGGGCAGGUUGAAGGUUGGGUAACACUAACUGGAGGACCGAACCGACUAAUGUUGAAAAAUUAGCGGAUGACUUGUGGCUGGGGGUGAAAGGCCAAUCAAACCGGGAGAUAGCUGGUUCUCCCCGAAAGCUAUUUAGGUAGCGCCUCGUGAAUUCAUCUCCGGGGGUAGAGCACUGUUUCGGCAAGGGGGUCAUCCCGACUUACCAACCCGAUGCAAACUGCGAAUACCGGAGAAUGUUAUCACGGGAGACACACGGCGGGUGCUAACGUCCGUCGUGAAGAGGGAAACAACCCAGACCGCCAGCUAAGGUCCCAAAGUCAUGGUUAAGUGGGAAACGAUGUGGGAAGGCCCAGACAGCCAGGAUGUUGGCUUAGAAGCAGCCAUCAUUUAAAGAAAGCGUAAUAGCUCACUGGUCGAGUCGGCCUGCGCGGAAGAUGUAACGGGGCUAAACCAUGCACCGAAGCUGCGGCAGCGACGCUUAUGCGUUGUUGGGUAGGGGAGCGUUCUGUAAGCCUGUGAAGGUGUGCUGUGAGGCAUGCUGGAGGUAUCAGAAGUGCGAAUGCUGACAUAAGUAACGAUAAAGCGGGUGAAAAGCCCGCUCGCCGGAAGACCAAGGGUUCCUGUCCAACGUUAAUCGGGGCAGGGUGAGUCGACCCCUAAGGCGAGGCCGAAAGGCGUAGUCGAUGGGAAACAGGUUAAUAUUCCUGUACUUGGUGUUACUGCGAAGGGGGGACGGAGAAGGCUAUGUUGACCGGGCGACGGUUGUCCCGGUUUAAGCGUGUAGGCUGGUUUUCCAGGCAAAUCCGGAAAAUCAAGGCUGAGGCGUGAUGACGAGGCACUACGGUGCUGAAGCAACAAAUGCCCUGCUUCCAGGAAAAGCCUCUAAGCAUCAGGUAACAUCAAAUCGUACCCCAAACCGACACAGGUGGUCAGGUAGAGAAUACCAAGGCGCUUGAGAGAACUCGGGUGAAGGAACUAGGCAAAAUGGUGCCGUAACUUCGGGAGAAGGCACGCUGAUAUGUAGGUGAAGCGACUUGCUCGUGGAGCUGAAAUCAGUCGAAGAUACCAGCUGGCUGCAACUGUUUAUUAAAAACACAGCACUGUGCAAACACGAAAGUGGACGUAUACGGUGUGACGCCUGCCCGGUGCCGGAAGGUUAAUUGAUGGGGUCAGCGCAAGCGAAGCUCUUGAUCGAAGCCCCGGUAAACGGCGGCCGUAACUAUAACGGUCCUAAGGUAGCGAAAUUCCUUGUCGGGUAAGUUCCGACCUGCACGAAUGGCGUAAUGAUGGCCAGGCUGUCUCCACCCGAGACUCAGUGAAAUUGAACUCGCUGUGAAGAUGCAGUGUACCCGCGGCAAGACGGAAAGACCCCGUGAACCUUUACUAUAGCUUGACACUGAACAUUGAGCCUUGAUGUGUAGGAUAGGUGGGAGGCUUUGAAGUGUGGACGCCAGUCUGCAUGGAGCCGACCUUGAAAUACCACCCUUUAAUGUUUGAUGUUCUAACGUUGACCCGUAAUCCGGGUUGCGGACAGUGUCUGGUGGGUAGUUUGACUGGGGCGGUCUCCUCCUAAAGAGUAACGGAGGAGCACGAAGGUUGGCUAAUCCUGGUCGGACAUCAGGAGGUUAGUGCAAUGGCAUAAGCCAGCUUGACUGCGAGCGUGACGGCGCGAGCAGGUGCGAAAGCAGGUCAUAGUGAUCCGGUGGUUCUGAAUGGAAGGGCCAUCGCUCAACGGAUAAAAGGUACUCCGGGGAUAACAGGCUGAUACCGCCCAAGAGUUCAUAUCGACGGCGGUGUUUGGCACCUCGAUGUCGGCUCAUCACAUCCUGGGGCUGAAGUAGGUCCCAAGGGUAUGGCUGUUCGCCAUUUAAAGUGGUACGCGAGCUGGGUUUAGAACGUCGUGAGACAGUUCGGUCCCUAUCUGCCGUGGGCGCUGGAGAACUGAGGGGGGCUGCUCCUAGUACGAGAGGACCGGAGUGGACGCAUCACUGGUGUUCGGGUUGUCAUGCCAAUGGCACUGCCCGGUAGCUAAAUGCGGAAGAGAUAAGUGCUGAAAGCAUCUAAGCACGAAACUUGCCCCGAGAUGAGUUCUCCCUGACUCCUUGAGAGUCCUGAAGGAACGUUGAAGACGACGACGUUGAUAGGCCGGGUGUGUAAGCGCAGCGAUGCGUUGAGCUAACCGGUACUAAUGAACCGUGAGGCUUAACCUU